rnacentral:rRNA from 1 species
CUGGCGGCGUGCCUAUACAUGCAAGUUCGAGCGGACAGAUGGGAGCUUGCUCCCUGAUGUUAGCGGCGGACGGGUGAGUAACACGUGGGUAACCUGCCUGUAAGACUGGGAUAACUCCGGGAAACCGGGGCUAAUACCGGAUGCUUGUUUGAACCGCAUGGUUCAAACAUAAAAGGUGGCUUCGGCUACCACUUACAGAUGGACCCGCGGCGCAUUAGCUAGUUGGUGAGGUAACGGCUCACCAAGGCAACGAUGCGUAGCCGACCUGAGAGGGUGAUCGGCCACACUGGGACUGAGACACGGCCCAGACUCCUACGGGAGGCAGCAGUAGGGAAUCUUCCGCAAUGGACGAAAGUCUGACGGAGCAACGCCGCGUGAGUGAUGAAGGUUUUCGGAUCGUAAAGCUCUGUUGUUAGGGAAGAACAAGUACCGUUCGAAUAGGGCGGUACCUUGACGGUACCUAACCAGAAAGCCACGGCUAACUACGUGCCAGCAGCCGCGGUAAUACGUAGGUGGCAAGCGUUGUCCGGAAUUAUUGGGCGUAAAGGGCUCGCAGGCGGUUUCUUAAGUCUGAUGUGAAAGCCCCCGGCUCAACCGGGGAGGGUCAUUGGAAACUGGGGAACUUGAGUGCAGAAGAGGAGAGU